CCAUGAUAAAAGGCAAUUAGACAAAGGGGAGUUUUAGCCUCCGCGCUCCCUGUCGACAUUGUUGCCGCUAGAAAUGAGAACGGCCACCGGGCAAGCAACGCCUCUUCUCCGCUACCGUUUUUGGCCUCAUCUCCCCUCUUUCCCUCCUCCCUCCGUCGCCUUCUGGGGAAAAGGUGGAGGCGCCGUCGCCGUUACACGACGCCGGCUCCUCCGCCACCCGGCAGACCCGAUGGCGUUUUCCUCCAAUUUCCCUCGGCAGGCGACCACGCCGACGAGGGAGCCCUUAUACCCUCUCUAACCCUAGUUCCAAGAACACGAACGGAACCCUAGCCGCAUCUGGAUCGAUCCGGAGGGGAGAGGAGGGACGUCAUCGCCGUCGACAUGAGCCGCCGGGGAUACGUCACGCUUCCCGUCAUCCUUGUGCUCGCGACCGUCUUCUUCGUCUACUACGCGACCGUCUUCGUGGUGAUCGAUGAGUGGUGGGGCUCUGGACCGCGGCGGGGCUGGGGAACGCCUCCGUCUUCCUCUACUAUUUACUCGCCGUAUUCAGGGAUCCGGGCCGCGUGCCGCCGUCGUUCUUGCCGGACAUGGAGGACGCCGAGAACCCGAUCCAUGAAAUCAAGCGGAAGGGUGGAGAUCUGAGGUAUUGCCAGAAGUGUUCUUAGGAUAAGCCUCCCCAUAUGCAUCACUGUCGUGUUUGCAAAAGAUGUAUUUUGAGAAUGGUAUGUAUGAUGACUUGUAUUUUCUUUUUCAGAAAACUUUUCUCGGUAUUUGUUAUGGCCCUGGAAUGCCUGCAGGAUCACCACUGCAUCUGGAUAAACAAUUGUGUGGGGCAUGAAAACUAUAAGGUCUUCAUUAUUUUUGUGCUGUAUGGCGUGAUUGCCUAUCUACUUGAUGGUUCUUCUUGUCGGAAAUUUUACUCGUGAUACACAGAAGGAUCAGGUGCACAGUACUAACUCUAAUAAAAUAACAUAUCUCAUUGCUGGAGUUAUUCUGUGUCCCUUAACUUUGGCGCUAAGCAUCCUGUUGGGUUGGCAUAUUUACCUUAUCUUGCAGAACAAGACCACAAUUGAGUACCAUGAAGGAGUCAGAGCAAUGUGGCUAGCAGAAAAAGUAGGAAAUAUGUACAGACAUCCAUAUGAUCUUGGUGUCUAUGAAAACCUUGUUUCAGUAAGAAAAGUUUCUCUCUCUUCUUUUCUUUGUCUGUUGUUUUGUAGUUUGUGAUCAAAAUGCAUGCCAUUGAGGACCAAGACAAUCAUUAUUUGUUGUGGUAAAAAUUGAGUUCAAGGUCAUGUUUGUUCAGUCCAGUCAUAACCAAAAUGAUCACACCUGUUUUUCAUAUUGAAACCAUGGAUGGUAAAACUUGUCUUUAUAUAAUGAUCUACCAAGGCAUGAAAAUCAAUAAUCCCAUUAAACUGUGGCUUGUGGGUUGAUCAAUUUUAUGCGGUUCUCGUCAGAAGAAUUAUCAUACCCUUGAUACUUGCCUUGACAGAAUCCUGGCAUCGAUUGCUGAUGUCUUGCUGAAACAUCCAUCCUUUUCUAAAGAUGGCAGUCAAUUGAAACUUGCUCCUCUAGAAAUGUUUGUAAUCUUUGUUUUAGCAUUUCUUGUUUUGCUUUGUUAUUCUUCCUUUCCCAUUGCGAGUGGGGAACUUUAUAUUAAUGUUAACUGCUUGUGCUGUUCUGUGACACGCCAUUCAUCUGAAACCAUCUGACAUUGCCCUUGCUUACUCUUAGUUGUCAUCAUAAAGACUUCUACCUUUUUUAAAGUUAAAUUUGUCAGAUGUCUGUUUUUAUGGUGAUAGUCAGCAUUGAUAUAUUCAGUCCUAUUAAUCCUUGCUUGCCCUAACUUGGGCAUUGCAUUGCUACUCUCAAUCUCAGCAUUAUUUCAAUUGUAUAUUUAUGUUACUGUUUCUCAGCAUCUAUUUUAUUAUGUGGUUCCAUGAAGUUCACAUUUGAGAAGAGGCCGGACACUUUUUAUGUGGACCUUUUUAGGGGUUCUGCAUCAUUACUCCUCCACAUGCUCUCAGUUCAGGGUACUUAGCUUUCAAGGCAUUCUGUAUUUUGAGCUAUAAGUUUAUCAUGGUUCCAACUGAAGGCAUAAGUUUUAGAAGAUACCAGCUCUGGGGCGGCAGCAUGGGAGAUCAUGCCUGUGGAUAUCUGAAAUUUGGCCAUUAACACCAUCCAGUGACUUAAAAAUCAACUUUGCCUGCAGGCACUAGGGCCUAACAUCUAUUGUUGGUUCUGCCCUGUAAACUACAAAGGCUCUGGUCUCUUUCGCACUGCAUUUGACCUUCCAAUAUUUACAGCACUAACAUGAUGUAUCUAUCAGGUGGCAAAGGACAAAGUAAUUUGUUAAUAGGAGAUGGACACCGCAUAAAUUUCCGUGGCCGAGCCUCACUUGCGAGUGCCGGUUACGCUCAUGAAGUGUGCUUGCGGUACCUUUUUUUGGGUCCGACGUGCUGGCUUCAAGUUACUUUUGUGGGUGUUCUAUAAAUAGGGGCAAGUAGAUGGAACAUUCUUUGAUGGGGGAGUAUUCAAGGGUUUGGAAGAAGCUAAUGUUAUGAAUAAACUUUAAUAGUCCAGUGUAAUAUAAUGUUAAAUUAUAUGCUGCCUUGCGGUGAUGUAUUCUGAUAUGGAACCUCACAAACCCCACCAUCCUCCCCUGCUCCACGGUGGUCACCAAUGAAUGCAGGCAUUAGAAUCUGACAUUCUCGUUCUGACAUGUAAUAUUGCUGCGCAAAGCCAAGACACAAUUUGGCGUGCAACAAACCAAGUUCUGCACGGAAUUAUUCACAGGGAGGGAGUGCCCGGCGGGCGUGGGGGAUUCAGAAUUGAAUUGCAACCCAGGAAUUGAUAUGAUAUUUUCCGUUCUUUUUUUUUUUUUUCUGCAUCACUUUUAUAAUUCUACUACGUUGGCAAGAUGUACAACCUUUAUAGAGGCGUAUUCUUGGCUUAGACGAGAGAUGUCUCGUCCCUCACCACGUGCCUCUUUGGUCUUGUUACCCUCGGCUCACGGAGACCCUGAGACGGUCAUAAGUUUUCUUACCCUCAAGAAAGCAGUGACUUUUGGAACAAAAGGCCUCAUCUCUUUCGCCUUUUUCUCAACGUCUCCUUAAUUGAUCACAGAGUUGGAAACCCUAAAACUCCAUGCUCUACUGUACUUGAAACAGCUUGGUCUUGACUUCUGCCAUCCAAUCCUGCAGUGAGGUUUGCCAGCCCCCAAUUCAAGAAAGCAAGCAAUGUUGCUGUUAAUAUCCAUGUAGUAGCGGACAUAAUCUGGAGGCUGCACAACAAAUUCACACAUUUCAGCGCCAAUGAUGCUAGGUAUCGUCUCUGAUGCUAAUAAGCUGUCACUAUCUACUGUUUUCGCGCAUGAUCGUGUGCAAGGAAAGGUUACUGCUCUAGCAGUCAUUGUAUAUUUUAUUGUAGAAAGUAGUUAGCAAGUUGCCCAUUUUACCCUCAAAUAAAAUUUAUCAGGAGAGCAA